rnacentral:rRNA from 1 species
GGGCCCGCACAAGCGGUGGAGCAUGUGGUUUAAUUCGAUGAUACGCGAGGAACCUUACCAGGGCUUAAAUGUAACGGGACAGAUCUAGAGAUAGAUCCUUCUUCGGACUCAUUACAAGGUGCUGCAUGGUUGUCGUCAGCUCGUGCCGUGAGGUGUCAGGUUAAGUCCUAUAACGAGCGCAACCCCAUCGUUAGUUGCCAACGAGUAAUGUCGGGAACUCUAACGAAACUGCCGGUGCAAACCGUGAGGAAGGUGGGGAUGACGUCAAAUCAUCACGGCCCUUACGUCCUGGGCCUACACACGUGCUACAAUGGUCGGUACAGAGAGCAGCCACUACGCGAGUAGGAG